rnacentral:tRNA from 1 species
GUCGGUGUGGCUCAGUUGGUUAGAGCGUUGGUCUCAUAGUCGUUAACCAUGACUUGGUUGUAAACCAGGGUAAUCCAAAGGUCGAGAGUUCGAGCCUCUCCACCGACA